rnacentral:lncRNA from 1 species
CUAAAAGAGAGGUCGGAGGGACUGGGGCAAAAGGAAAAGGGGAGAGGGUUCUGGGUAGAGGAGUGCCCACCCGUAAAGACCAGAAUGCAAAGAGCAUGCAUAUGUUGCUUCCUACUAUGUGUCAGGCCCCAUGUGAAGUAUUGGGGUGCAGAGCUAAAUAAGCUACAGUCCAGCCCUCAGGGAGCAUACAGGCUGAGUGGAGGAGACCACCAAGGACAGGAGCCCACCCUAGAAAUGGUUCUUGGCACCUCCUCCAGGAAUCUCCCAUUGCUGAUCUCACUGCCCAGUUAUUCCAUCUCCCAGACCAUCCAGAAUCCUGAUGUCCAACCACACAAGCAUUCUUCAUCCGGCACAUUUUCCAACACCUGUUUUUGACAGACCUCCAGAAUUAGUACUUACGUAACAGUUUUCAGACCACAUGUGGAACAGCAAUGCCCUCCAGCCCUGGCAAGAAGGCUCUGCACGUGGUCAUCACUGGAUAGGCUUUAUGGAAUCCUUUAGAAACUCCAGUGCUCCUCCAGAUGUCUGAAGAAUGUACAGAGGAGUAUAGGAGGAGUCUUUGUGGAGGCUCUGUUAGAAUGAAGAGGCCCCUCUGUGAUGAUGUUUGCAAGAUUUGUGUGAGGACACCAGUUCUACUGUCUAAAUAGCUUCAUGAACCUGAACUUCUUAUCUCAAUGUGGCCUUGACCUGAAGCUAGACCAAGUUCUUAAACUCUUUUGUGCCAAUAGACCUAGUUGAUAGUUUAGGGAGGCCUGUGGAUCUUUCUGCAGAAUGUUUUAAUGUCAGUGUUUUAAAUGCAGAAAAGAAAAACCACGGGAUUUCAAAAGAAAUCAGUUAUUCUCAAAUACAAUUAAUAAAAUGUGUGGUUCACAAAUGUUGCUUUGCUAACACAUUAAAAUAACAAUAUCUGUUUGUAUUUGGUUGUUGAGUAGCAUGGAGCCUCCAUGUGAAAGUUAAACAACACUCUACUAGACAGCCAAUGGAUCACUGAAAAAAAUCAAAGAGGAAAUCAAAAAAUACUUGGAGACAAAUUAAAAUAAAAACACAAUUCAAAAUCUAUAGGACGCAACAAAAGUUGUUCUAGGAGGGAAGUUUAUAGUGAUACAAGCCUACGUCAAAAAGCAAGAAAAAUCUCAACCUAAUCUUACAUCUAAAGGAGCUAGAAGAAGGAAAAACAAAAUCCAGAGUUAGUAGAAGAAAUAAUAAACCUCAGAGUAAGAAUAAAUGAAAUAGAGACAGAAGAGAAAGAAAAUAUCAAUGAAACUAAGAGCUGGUUCUUUGAAAAGAUAAAAUUGAUAAGCCUUUAGCCAGACUUAUCAAGAAAAAAAGAGGGACUAAAUCAUAUCAGAAAUGUAAAAAGAAAAGUUACAACCAGCACCACAGAAAUACAAAAGAUCAUGAGACUACUACAAGCAACUCUAUCCCAAUAAAAGGGGCAACCUUGAAGAAAUGCACAAAUUCCUAGAAAUGUACAAUCUACAAAUACUGAACUAGGAAGAAAUGGAAAUUAUGAACAGACCAGUUACAAGUAAUGAAACAAUCUGUAAUCUUAAAAACUCCCAAUAAACAAAGGUCCAGGACCUGAUAGCUUCAUAGGUGAAUUGUACCAAACAUUUAAAGAAGGGUUAACACCUCUCCUUCUCAAAUUAUUCAAAAAAAAUUGCAGAGAGGAAACACUUCUGAAAUUAUUCUAUGAUGCCAGCAUUACCCUAUCACUGAUGAACAUAGAUGCAAAACUCCUCAACAAAAUAUUAACUGAAUUCAACAAUAUAUCAAAAGGAUUAUAUACCAUGAUCAAGUGGGAUUUAUCAUAGACAUGCACGGAUUUUUCAAUAUCUUUAAUCAAUUCAAUAUGAUAUACACAUUAAACUGAAGACUAAAAAAAUUAAUAGAUGCAGAAAAAGCUUUUGACGAAAUUCAACAUGUUUAGAAUAAAAACCCUCCAGAAAGUGGACAUAGAGGGAACCUACCUGAAUGUAAUGAAGGCCAUAUAUGACAAGGCCACAGCUAAAUCAUACUCAACAGUGAAAAGCUGAAAGCAUUUCCUCUAAGAUCAAGAAAAAGAAAAGGAUGCCCAAUUUCACCACUUUUAUUUAAAAUAGUGUUGGAAGUCCUAGCCACAGCACUCAGGGAAAAGAAAAAAAAUGAAUCUAAGGCGGAAGAAAUAAAACUGUCACUGUAGAUGAUAUGAUACUGUACGUAGAAAAUCCUGAAGAUGCCACCAAAAAACUAAUAAUUAUCACUGAAUUUGAUAAAGUUCCAAGAUACAAAAUUAAUAUUUGGAAAUCUAUUGGAUUUCUGUAGUCUAACAAUGAGCUAUCAGAGAAGUUAAGGCAAUGAUCACAUUCACAAUUGCAUCAAAAAGAAAUACCUAGGAAUAAAUCUACCUAAGGAGGUAAAAUACUCAGAAACUUAUAAGACACUGAUGAAAGAAAUUGAAGAUGACACAAACAGAUGGAAAGAUAUACCAGUCUCAUGGAUUAGAAGAAUUAAUAUUGUUAAAAUGACCAUACUACAGAUUCGAUACAAUCUCUAUAAAAAUGUCAAGGGUAUUUUUAACAAAACUAGAAAAAUAAUAUUGAAAUUUGUGUAUAAACUUAAAGGACCCUGAAUAAUCAAAACAACCUUGAGAAAAAGAACAGAGCUGGAGGAAUCACAAUCCCUGAUUUUAUACUAUACAGUGUGAAAAAAGCCACAGUGAUAUUUUUAUACUAUACAGUAUAAAAAGCUGCAGUAAUCAAAACAGUAUAUUCCUAGUACAAAAGCAGACAUAUAGAUCAAUGGAACAGAAUAGAGCACCCAGAAAUAAACCCACAAACUUAUGGUCAAUUAAAUUAUGACAAAGGAGGCAAAAAUAUGCAAUGGAGAAAAGACAGUCUUUUCAAUAAAUGGGGCUGAGAAAACUAGACAGCCACACUUAAAAGAAUGAAAUUAGAACUUUCUCCACACCAUAUAAAAAUAAACUCAAAAUGGAUUAAAAACUAGAAAAAUAAUAUUAAAAUUUGUAAACCAUAAAACUCCAAGAAAGUAUAAUCAGGACAUUCUUCAACAUAAAUCAUAGCAAUAAUUGGGGGGGAGGAAAGGAAAGGAAAUAAAAGCAAAAAUAAAUGGAAACUAAUCACACUUAAAAGCUUUUGCACAGCGAAUGAAACCAUCAAAAACAAAAAAAGACAACCUACUGAAUGAGAAAAAAUAUUUGCAAAUGAUAUGACUGAUGAGGGGUUAUAUCCAAAAUAUAUCAGCAGCUCAUACAAUUCAACAUAAAAAUCCAAUUAAAAAAUGGCUAGGAGUCCUGAAUAGACAUUUUUUUCCAAAGAAGACAAUAAACAUGAUCAUUAAUCAUCAGAUAAGUACAAAUUAAAACCACAAUGAGAUAUCAGCUCACACCUGUCAGAAUGGCUACAUCAAAAGUACCACAAAUAACGAAGUUUGGGGAGGAUGUGGAGAAAAGGGAGCCCAUGUAAAAUAUUGGUAGGAAUGUAAGUUAGUGGAGACACUAUGCAAAACAGUAUGAAGGUUCUCAAAAAACUAAAAAAAUAACUACCAUAUGAUCCAGCAAUAUCACUCCUGAGUAUUUAUCAGAAAAAUACUAAUUCAAAAAGAUAAUGCACCCCACUGUUUGUAAUAGCAUUAUUUACAGUUGCCAAGAUAUUAAAGCAACCUAAUUGUACAUCAGCAGAUGAAUGGAUAAAGAAUCUGUGAUACACACACAGAGAAGACUACUACUCAGCCAUAAAAAAGGAUGGACAGUUGCCAUUUGCAACAGCAUGGAUGGACUUUGAGGGUAUUAUGCUAAGUGAAAUAAUUGAGAGAAAGACAAAUACUGUAUAAUAUCACUUUUACAUGGAAUCUGAAAAAUCUAGUGAAUAUAACAAAAAGAAACAGACUCACGGAUAUAGAGAACAAAUUAGUAGAUACCAGUGGGGAGAGAGGGGAAGGGGAGGGCAAGAUAGAGGCAGAAGAUUAAGAGGUAUAAGCUACUUUGCAUAAAAUAAAUAGGCUGCAAGAAUAUACAGCACAACAUGGAAUAUACCCAAUACUUUAAGUGCAAUACAGCCUUUAAAAAUUAUAAAUCACUAUGUUGUACACCUGAAAUUUAUACACCAACUGUACCUCAAUUUAAAAAAAAUAAGGAUAUCUGAUGGUGGGAAAAAUACCUACUCUAAUUUGAUAUAUUGCCGAGUGUAAAACUAUAUUUCAAGUUACCUACAACAACUCCACUGUGAUUUGAAAAUACCAGUUAUUUCUAUUUUGACCAUCAUAGAUACUACCUCUACUGUGAUUUGUUUUUGCCUAAAUUCAUGAUGGAAGGAAAUACCCAAUUUCACUUCGAGACUAAUGAAAAUAAAGGUGCAAUUCUUCACGUCAU